GGCUUACACAUGCAAGUCGAACGAUGAAGCCCAGCUUGCUGGGUGGAUUAGUGGCGAACGGGUGAGUAACACGUGAGUAACCUGCCCUUGACUCUGGGAUAAGCGUUGGAAACGACGUCUAAUACCGGAUACGAGCUUCCACCGCAUGGUGAGUUGCUGGAAAGAAUUUUGGUCAAGGAUGGACUCGCGGCCUAUCAGCUUGUUGGUGAGGUAAUGGCUCACCAAGGCGACGACGGGUAGCCGGCCUGAGAGGGUGACCGGCCACACUGGGACUGAGACACGGCCCAGACUCCUACGGGAGGCAGCAGUGGGGAAUAUUGCACAAUGGGCGAAAGCCUGAUGCAGCAACGCCGCGUGAGGGACGACGGCCUUCGGGUUGUAAACCUCUUUUAGCAGGGAAGAAGCGAAAGUGACGGUACCUGCAGAAAAAGCACCGGCUAACUACGUGCCAGCAGCCGCGGUAAUACGUAGGGUGCAAGCGUUGUCCGGAAUUAUUGGGCGUAAAGAGCUCGUAGGCGGUUUGUCGCGUCUGCUGUGAAAUCCCGAGGCUCAACCUCGGGUCUGCAGUGGGUACGGGCAGACUAGAGUGCGGUAGGGGAGAUUGGAAUUCCUGGUGUAGCGGUGGAAUGCGCAGAUAUCAGGAGGAACACCGAUGGCGAAGGCAGAUCUCUGGGCCGCUACUGACGCUGAGGAGCGAAAGGGUGGGGAGCAAACAGGCUUAGAUACCCUGGUAGUCCACCCCGUAAACGUUGGGCGCUAGAUGUGGGGACCAUUCCACGGUUUCCGUGUCGUAGCUAACGCAUUAAGCGCCCCGCCUGGGGAGUACGGCCGCAAGGCUAAAACUCAAAGGAAUUGACGGGGGCCCGCACAAGCGGCGGAGCAUGCGGAUUAAUUCGAUGCAACGCGAAGAACCUUACCAAGGCUUGACAUAUACGAGAACGGGCCAGAAAUGGUCAACUCUUUGGACACUCGUAAACAGGUGGUGCAUGGUUGUCGUCAGCUCGUGUCGUGAGAUGUUGGGUUAAGUCCCGCAACGAGCGCAACCCUCGUUCUAUGUUGCCAGCACGUAAUGGUGGGAACUCAUGGGAUACUGCCGGGGUCAACUCGGAGGAAGGUGGGGACGACGUCAAAUCAUCAUGCCCCUUAUGUCUUGGGCUUCACGCAUGCUACAAUGGCCAGUACAAAGGGCUGCAAUACCGUAAGGUGGAGCGAAUCCCAAAAAGCUGGUCCCAGUUCGGAUUGAGGUCUGCAACUCGACCUCAUGAAGUCGGAGUCGCUAGUAAUCGCAGAUCAGCAACGCUGCGGUGAAUACGUUCCCGGGCCUUGUACACACCGCCCGUCAAGUCAUGAAAGUCGGUAACACCCGAAGCCAGUGGCCUAACCGCAAGGAUGGAGCUUCUAAGUG
rnacentral:rRNA from 1 species